UACGUAGGUGGCAAGCGUUUGUCCGGAUUUACUGGGCGUAAAGAGCGCGCAGGCGGCCGAGUAAGUCGAAUGUGAAAGCCCCCGGCUCAACUGGGGAAGGUCAUUCGAUACUGUUCGGCUUGAAGAUAGGAGAGGGAAGCGGAAUUUCAGGUGUAGCGGUGAAAUGCGUAGAUAUCGGAAGGAACACCAGUGGCGAAAGCGGCUUCCUGGUCCAGCACCGACGUCAGGCACGAAAGCGUGGGGAGCAAACAGG
rnacentral:rRNA from 1 species